CGUCCGAUGGCCUACUCACUCACUCCUUCCGCAUCCUGGGAUUGUUGGGGUGGAUCAGGAGCGAGGUCCUGAGAAGGUGGAGGAAGGAAAAGAGGAAGACCCGGCACUUAUGUCCGGAAAAAGAUUAACGAGGCCUAUGACGUAUCACAUUUCUGCCAGGAGCUUCUUUUUUUAGGAGUUCUCAGGAACUAAACGUCUAAAGCCGUCAGACGUGACUCUCUUGAGAAAUAUCUCUGACAGCCUGAGGGGAGCAAGGCCUGUUGCAGCUCAGCCAUCACCCUGCAGGGAUUGUUCUAAGGAGAACUGGGACUCAACAGCAAAGAUUUGUAAAUAUCCCCCCUCCCCCACCCGCCACCCCCCUCCCCCCGUUUGAGGGUUAGUUUGUUGCUAUGUAUUGUAAUGCUAAAUUCUGUAUCCUGAGGACUAAAUUGCCUCUCAAGACAAGUGCUCUGUGCAAACCUUGUUUAAAACGAUUGGUUCAAUAAAGAUGCCUGCCGCUGGGCAGAAGAAA